CAUUGAUAGAUUUACGCGAUGGCCUG
rnacentral:sRNA from 1 species